UUUUGUUGUGGGCUUUUGCUUUUCCUUAUUUUCCCAACAAAUAAAAUUUGGGUCCUGGGUAUCAGGACUCCAGGGUUAGGGUUCGGAAAGUUAAAAUUAAGCACCAAUAAUAAAUAGGGUUUGGUUGAACUCUUUCAACUCCUUCAUCAAUCAAGAAUUUAAUAUGAAGUUUCAAAGAACAGACGCUCGAUCAAUUUUCUCGCAAUUUAAGCGCAGAGAGAAACAGAUUAAGCUUAAGAGGAGGUGGUUACUGGGCAUUCCUCCCACAAGAUCUGAGAGGAAGAAGUUGAAAAAAUAUUUCAAAAAUAGGUAUUUGUCCGAGUCUUUACUUAGGGAAGAUGAUAUAUUUCACGAGUCAGUAAGAACUCGUGUUGAAGACGCCUUUGGAGCGCAGCGCAUUGAACAAGAGAAUCAUGCCCCUCAAGAUGAUAUGGAUUUGAUUCAAAUGCCGAACAUGAAAUGGUUGAUAUCAUCGUGCCUUGAUAAUUUGACUAUCAAGGGCCUCUACCUUCUUGCUAUGAUAGUUACUGGGGACUCAUUCAAGUAUGAAAUAACACGUUGCAAAUUGAAAAAAGUUAUCAAGGGUUCUGUUUCAAGUGUUCUGUGUAGCAAAAGUUGUGAUCAUCUUGAGACUCGUAAACGGAUUUUUUCGCUUCUAACCAAUCCACAGAAUUUCCGAGACAGGACUGAGCCUUUGCCUGCUUUUAGAUCCCAAUCUUGUCAUGCUGCUGUAGUACAGAUAUUGCAUGGACUUCAAAACUUGUCUUCUCAGACCUUGAUUUCAAUGCGUAGGAAACUUAAAGGGGUGAAAGCACCAGUACCUCAGUUACAACCCCGCAAGCAUGGAUGGGCAAGAGACCAUCUAAUUAAGCUAGUGAAGAAAAUUAGUAGGGAAAUGCUUUCUCAACUUGAUAGAGAAAGUGAGCUGCAAGAGCCAUUAGCUAAAGCCAUGGCUGUAGCAGAUUUAUCACUAAAAUUGACAACUGGUUGUCAUAACAUAUUUGCGAAAGAAUUUUACCAGUUCUCCCCGGAGGUGAAGUCCUUGCAAAGUGAUAUUAUGAAUGCUAUAUGGUCUGUGAAGAAAAAAGUGUCAGUGACACAGCUAAGAAACUUACAGCUUCUUGUAGAACCGAAGGCUACAAUAUCAAAUAGGUGCUUACGGUCAGCUUUUGUGAAUUUUUUGACUGAAUUUCUUCUAGAGUGCAAUGAUAUGGAUAGUAUUCCAGAAUUUCUAUCACAGACCCUAGAUGUUAUUAACAGAGGUUCUAAUAGCGGCAUUCACGAUGUAUUAUUCAAGAAGAAGUAUAUUGAGGAAGAAGUUGACUGCAUACUGGACAUGAGUGCUUCAACAAAACAAAUUGUUUUGGAUUUGUUGCCUGAUGAUGAAUUUGAUAAAGACUUCACUGAUGCCUACUUGGAGCAGCCAGAAGAAAGUGAUUACAGCGACAGUGAUGAGAAUGAUAGUCAACUUCAGGAUAUACAAUUCAGAAAUGGAACAUAUGGUUCAAUGGAUUCAUUUUAUGAAGCAGAAAGUAUUGGGGAUUUUGUGCCAUUGAAUAGUCUUUCUGAGCAGCUUCAUCCUAAUAACUGUGAUAAAGUAAGUUUGGAAGCCAAUGUUCACAACACUCUACAUGUUCAAUGCCAAGGAGAAAGCACAGAGCAUUUUAGUACAUUUAUGGCCUGUAAAAACAAAAGUUCUUCAGUUCUUUCACCUGAAAGAGAAUUGGACGAAAAUGUUGUAAAGACAAAUGAUUUUCCUAAAUCUAAUACUAAAAUAGAAGCAACAGACAUAGCUGAUUUGUUUUGUAAGGAGACAAAUCCCAUGCCCACCAAGUACAGUGCAUGCAAGAACCACUAUGUUUCUGCCCAAGAUGCUUGUGAUAAGACGAGUAUGCUUGCAUAUAAUCUCAUAGGACAUAUGUUGAAAGAGUUUGCCAUAAUUGAAGGUCAAGAUUUAAACUUGAGCAAGAGUUUAUACCUCAGUGGUAGUAAUCACAUUGAAGAUGUUGAAGAUGCAGAGGAGCAGUCACCAUCUGGGAAACAUGCAAGAGAUUUUGUUCAAGUAAUUGAAGAGCUGAUUCCUUCCUUUCCAGAUAGUAGCAUGGAAAGACUGAAGAUGUUGAUGGGCUUAUGAUAAUGAAAUUCGGGGUUUCAGCUUCAAACAGAAAAAUAUUCUGAAACGGGCUAUGCUGGUGCCCUGCAAGGAAUUUUAUAAGUCUCAAUUGAUUUUUUGCCAUGACAGAAAGAGCUUUCCCCCAAGGAAUUUUAUGGAGCCGUCAGUGCAUGAAGAGGGCUAUCAAUGAGAUAAAGCUUCCUCCAGUUAGAUGAUUUGAUAUAAUUGGCAUAAGUUGAGAAAAGAGAGGGUUGUCCAUUACAUGAAGCCACCCCCACGGGAGAGGUCACCCUUAGGAAGGGAGGACAAACAAGAAGAUGGAGCCGCCUUAUAUUUUAAUUAGCAUCAACUUCUACCAUUCAAUUGAAUCAAGGAAAAAAAAUAUUUAGUAAGGAAAAUACAAGGAAAUAAAUAAAAACAUCAAGAUACAAAUGAACAAGUAGGCAGAUACAAAUGAACAAGUAGGCAGGUUUAGCAUUUUAUUUUCUUCAAACUAAAUUCAACCUCCUAUGCUAUGUAAUUGAAAAAUAUACAAUUUAGAAAA